GUGGGGAAUUUUGGACAAUGGGCGCAAGCCUGAUCCAGCAAUGCCGCGUGCAGGAUGAAGGCCUUCGGGUUGUAAACUGCUUUUGUACGGAACGAAAAGCCCUGGGUUAAUACCCUGGGGUCAUGACGGUACCGUAAGAAUAAGCACCGGCUAACUACGUGCCAGCAGCCGCGGUAAUACGUAGGGUGCGAGCGUUAAUCGGAAUUACUGGGCGUAAAGCGUGCGCAGGCGGUUUUGUAAGACAUAGGUGAAAUCCCCGGGCUCAACCUGGGAACUGCCUUUGUGACUGCAAGGCUAGAGUACGGCAGAGGGGGAUGGAAUUCCGCGUGUAGCAGUGAAAUGCGUAGAUAUGCGGAGGAACACCGAUGGCGAAGGCAAUCCCCUGGGCCUGUACUGACGCUCAUGCACGAAAGCGUGGGGAGCAAACAGGAUUAGAUACCCUAGUAGUCC
rnacentral:rRNA from 1 species